rnacentral:rRNA from 1 species
GAUGAACGCUGGCGGCGUGCCUAAUACAUGCAAGUCGAGCGAACGGACGAGAAGCUUGCUUUUCUGAUGUUAGCGGCGGACGGGUGAGUAACACGUGGAUAACCUACCUAUAAGACUGGGAUAACUUCGGGAAACCGGAGCUAAUACCGGAUAAUAUUUUGAACCGCAUGGUUCAAAAGUGAAAGACGGUCUUGCUGUCACUUAUAGAUGGAUUCGCGCUGCAUUAGCUAGUUGGUAAGGUAACGGCUUACCAAGGCAACGAUGCAUAGCCGACCUGAGAGGGUGAUCGGCCACACUGGAACUGAGACACGGUCCAGACUCCUACGGGAGGCAGCAGUAGGGAAUCUUCCGCAAAGGGCGAAAGCCUGACGGAGCAACGCCGCGUGAGUGAUGAAGGUCUUCGGAUCGUAAAACUCUGUUAUUAGGGAAGAACAUAUGUGUAAGUAACUGUGCACAUCUUGACGGUACCUAAUCAGAAAGCCACGGCUAACUACGUG